rnacentral:ncRNA from 1 species
AUGAGUAACAAAUAAGAAGGUCAAUACCAUUUAUUCUUUAUUUUCGAAUAAGGAAGGUGGUUUUAGAUACCUCCGCCUAAAGCUUAUGGUUUUGGUAUAAAGUAACGGCCUCUAAGUUUAUAACCUAAAGGUUUGGACGAUGAGAAAAUCUUAUUUACUAAAAACAACAUUUCUAAGUGAGAAGUGUGCUGGAAAAACUGUAAAUAUAUAUUUAUUUAAUAAAUAUGAAAAUAACCGUACCUAGAAACUGCUACAAGUAAGCUAGUAGAGAAUACGAAGGCGUUAAUGGGCUAACAAUCAUAAAGGAACUCGGCAAACUAACUACCGUAACUUCGGGACAAGGAGAGCUCAUUAGUCUUGAUUAAUAUCAGGUAAAAAGGAAGAAGCAUAAAAUAGUGUUGUACGACUGUUUAAUUAAAACACAGCACUUUGCUAAAAGAUGAAAAAUCUAAGUAUUGAGUGUGAUGUCUGCCCGAUCCCGGCUGGUUAACAGAUACUACUGAAUUGUUAAAAGAUUUGUUAAAAGCGGCCUUAACGUGAGGGUCCUAAGGUAGCGAAAUGCCUUGGCCGUUAAAUGCGGUCUUGCAUGAAUGGUGUAACGAUACAACAGCUGUCUCUAUGAUUGACCCAGUGAAAUU